UUGACCGAGCAUUUACCCUUGCAUUCUCGGUCCUUGGUUUGAUUCCGUAAAAAAAAAAAAAGAUGAAAAAUUGGGAAAAAGUUUAAUUUUGUACUUUUAUAAUUGAACAAGCAUGUGAAUUGUAAUGAAGAUUUAUUUAAAUAGAAUCUGGACCUUUAAGAUUGUUGGUUUUGUACACCAAAAAAUAUCCACCACCAAUAUAAUUGGAUGCCAAAGCCUUUCCAG
rnacentral:lncRNA from 1 species